ACCUAGACUGGACUGACAUGCUGGAAUUACAGCACCAGCUCUGCAAAAACCAUCGACAAUGGAAUGUCAAACCCAGACCUUUUUGUGGCAGGGUCUCCCUCCCCAGUCUCAUUGGAAUGGAUGGGGAGGAUUGCAUCACAACGCUCCAACAACUGCGGUUGUAUGAUCACCAGGAGGAAGAGGAAACCACUAUACUCAUGGAACCUUUCAUUUUCACGUUUCAGUUCUAAAAGGACUACGAGGUUUCAUUGUGGAAGUGGUGGACAAACACAAUUUGAGAGUCUUUGCUUCAUUUGAGUAGCAGUUGUGAACAUUUUUUGAGGAGUUUGUUUUUUAGUUUUUUGUUAUUAUAAACAGAUGUUCACUUAAGUUCAUGUGGAAGUCACCUAAGUCUCUGAUCUCUUUCUCGGUAUCUGUAGGUGAGAUAAUAUAAGUAAAAUGUUACACAAGCCACGGUACAAAUAGCAAUGUCUGUGUUUGUAUUUUAAAUAGACAUCACGCUUAUGUCAAUAGGUUGAUAAGGUGAAAACAAGAAUUACAUAAAACCUUUUUUAUGUAUAAGGCAAUUGAAGUCACUUUAUUGAAAGCCUCUUUAAACUCCUCCCAUUGGUAUUAGGGCUGAUCAUAACAAUUACAUUUUUUGUAAAUGACAUUCUAGGGUUAUAGAUGUUUAAUUAUUUUUUUUGCACCAAAUAUGGGACAAACUGAUACUUAGAAGGCUUGUAUGUACCUAUGUACAGUUCUGGAAUGUCCUUCUAAUAAACAGAUUGAUAUUGUU